AGGCCGCGGCUCUCUCGCUCACCUCCGGCGGCAGUAACAGCAGCCGCAGUAGGAAAAGAACCAAGAUGCGCACGGAAAUAAAUCCCUGGGGCUCGUUGUGAACACAAGCCUAGCAGCACCGAGUUCCUUUUGCAAGUGGGAGGCGCGUACAGCCCCAGUGUGGCAGGGGGAGCGCAGCAGCGCAGGGGCUGCUGAGACCGGAGCUGUUACAGUAAGAUAAACAAACCAACACACUGUGGACAUCUUCAUUUCUUUCUUUCUCGGAUCUUGGGUAUUGCAUUUAAAAUUCCACUCAGGAAGUAGGGCAUUGUGUUUAGAAGAGAUGGAUAAAAGAAACAUGAAACAGUGCCAAGUUCCACCACUGGUAAAAAGCCUACUUUCUACCAUGGUAGGAGGAGGUGGCAGAGGGGUGGAGAAUGACAAGCAAUUCCAAAUCCCAAGACGAUACCACCAAGCAUCUUCUGCAAGCAUCGCUCCAGCCCACCCAGCUACUCCCCUUCACCCUUCUGAGACCCUGAAACAUUGGCACGACCAUGAAAGUGUUCAGAGGCAAGGGUGCAUCAGCAGCUGAAGAUACUUUUAAACAUUUUACCAUAAGAAAAACAUAACAAAUCACUUUGCUACAUUUUAUUUAAGCAGCAAGUGCAUCUUUAUUUUGUAUACUGAAAUUCUAUCAACUGACUGUAUGUGUCUGCUAUAGAGUUUGGACUCAGCAGUUUUUCAUAUUCAUACCUCUCCUCUCUUCCACGAGUGGGAAGAGACCAAAAAACACAAUCAGAAGAACAAAAUACAUGCAAAAAAAAAAUAUCAGUUCCGGCUCAAUAUUUGCAGUAUCUUCAUUAACAAGGGCCUUUCAUCAUGUGGCUUGAAAGCAUCACAAGCAUAGAGGCAGCUCUUUGUGCUCAGCACCUCACUUGUUAUUAGCCAGUUCUCAUGCCAACUGAGAAAAGCGAGGACACCAAAAGUUUCAGAUUUUCAUGUGUUAAUAAAAACAUUUUUAAAAAAUCUCCACAAGACAAGAAAGGGCUUUCGUGACAAAAAAGCAUUUGUAACACGUUCUCUUACAGUUAAAUUAGAUUAUUGAGUUGGCAGUUCCCAGAGUUUUACUGCAGUAUCUCAGAUUAAUUAAUUAAACCUCUGCAGAAGUUAUAUAGCACAGUAAACUUUCUUCCCCCAUAUUCAUUGCUAUGGGUAUAUAAUUUAUCCUAAUUAUUGAAACUUUAUCAGGUUUGGAAGCUAUAAGAACUAAGAAAAAUGGGUCCACUUAUUCCUAACAGUGCUCCAGUAACAGGUACGUAAUAAAACCAAUUAAAGCAAAUGGAGAGCAAUAUGUAGACCUCCAAUUAAGAAUGACUUAAAUGAGGAUAAAGAGACAGUCCAUCACAAAGUACAACAAGACUGCAUUACAAAUAACUCACAAUGCUUAGUCUCUGUACAAUGCAUUUUUAAUAAGGAUGCACUUCUUCCAGUCAUAUUUCAAACUUCACUGAUUUAAGAAUACGUUUUUGUCUUACUUGAAAUCAGGAACAAUAAAAAAAAAAAGAA